rnacentral:rRNA from 1 species
UACGGUAGGGUGCAAGCGUUGUCCGGAAUUAUUGGGCGUAAAGAGCUCGUAGGCGGUCCGUCACGUCGGACCUGUGAAAAACCUGGGGCUCAACCCCGGGCCUGCAGCCGAUACGGGCGGACUAGAAUUCGGUAGGGGAGACUGGAAUUCCUGGUGUAGCGGUGAAAUGCGCAGAUAUCAGGAGGAACACCGGUGGCGAAGGCGGGUCUCUGGGCCGAUAUUGACGCUGAGGAGCGAAAGCGUGGGGAGCGAACAGGG